rnacentral:rRNA from 1 species
GGGUGGAACCAAAAUGCCCUUAAGGCACCAGAUCUUGUCUGAUAGUGGGAGAUAAGCAGAGCUGGGUUUGGUUGGUACUUGGAUGGAAGACCACCAACGAAUAUUAGUCAUUCCUCUCA